rnacentral:rRNA from 1 species
GUAGUCAUAUGCUUGUCUCAAAGCUUAAGCCAUGCAAGUCUCAGUACGAGCUGUCUUAAAGUGAAACCGCAAAAGGCUCAGUAAACCGGUCAUAGUUUACCGGAUAUAUGCCACUUACGUGGAUAACUGUGGUAAUUCUAGAGCUAAUACAUGCAAACAAGUCCCGACCAGCGAUGGAGAGGACGCUUUUAUUGGAUCAAAACCAUUCGCCCGGCUUGCCCGGGCGUCGGCUUGAUGACUCUAGAUAACACCACAGAUCGCACGGUCACAGUACCGGUGACAUAUCCUUCAAAUGUCUGACUUAUCAGCUGUCGAUGGUAGACUCUGUGUCUACCAUGGCGCUCACGGGUGACGGGGAAUCAGGGUUCGAUUCCGGAGAGGGAGCCUGAGAAACGGCUACCACAUCCAAGGAAGGCAGCAGGCACGCAAAUUACCCACUCCCGGCACGGGGAGGUAGUGACAAAAAAUAACGAUACGGGACUCAUCCGAGGCCCCGUAAUGAGAACACCCUAAAUCCUUUAACGAGGAUCUAUUGGAGGGCAAGUCUGGUGCCAGCAGCCGCGGUAAUUCCAGCUCCAAUAGCGUAUAUUAAAGUUGUUGCGGUUAAAAAGCUCGUAGUUGGUUCUGCGUGCCACGCUGUCGGUUCACCGCCUGCCGGUGCAACUGGCAUGCCGUGGCAUGUCCUGUCGGUGGCGGAUAGGCUUCGCGGCGUGCCCUAUGCGGUGACAAGCCGUGUAGGCUGCUGCGCCGCGUUGUCCUUGUACGCCGGCUCAAUCCUACCGCGGUGCUCUUUACCGAGUGUCGAGGUAGGCCGACACUGUUUACUUUGAACAAAUUAGAGUGCUUAAAGCAGGCUCUUAAAUUAGCCUGAAUAGUGGUGCAUGGAAUAAUGGAACAGGACCUUGGUUCUAUUUUGUUGGUUUUCGGAAUCCAAGGUAAUGAUCAAUAAGGACA